rnacentral:rRNA from 1 species
UUGUCCGGAAUUACUGGGUGUAAAGGGAGUGUAGGCGGGAUAUCAAGUCAGAAGUGAAAAUUACGGGCUCAACUCGUAACCUGCUUUUGAAACUGACAUUCUUGAGUGAAGUAGAGGCAAGCGGAAUUCCUAGUGUAGCGGUGAAAUGCGUAGAUAUUAGGAGGAACACAAGUGGCGAAGGCGGCUUGCUGGGCUUUUACUGACGCUGAGGCUCGAAAGCGUGGGGAGCAAACAGGAUUAGAUACCCUGGUAGUCCACGCCGUAAACGAUGAUUACUAGGUGUGGGGGGAUUGACCCCUUCCGUGCCGGAGUAAACACAAUAAGUAAUCCACCUGGGGAGUACGACCGCAAGGUUGAAACUCAA